CAGCCGCCACGGGAAUACGGAGGGCGCGAGCGUUACCCGGAUUUACUGGGCGUAAAGGGCGUGUAGGCGGCCUGGGGCGUCCCAUGUGAAAGGCCACGGCUCAACCGUGGAGGAGCGUGGGCUACGCUCAGGCUAGAGGGUGGGAGAGGGUGGUGGAAUUCCCGGAGUAGCGGUGAAAUGCGCAGAUACCGGGAGGAACGCCGAUGGCGAAGGCAGCCACCUGGUCCACUUCUGACGCUGAGGCGCGAAAGCGUGGGGAGCAAACCGGAUUAGAUACCCCAGUAGUCCCUGUCUCUUAUAC
rnacentral:rRNA from 1 species